rnacentral:lncRNA from 1 species
UACAAGCUAUCAGUUUGCUUCCUUCUUUAUCAGAAUUGCAUUUGCCUCAAUGUAGUCUUCAUAACUCCCCUCAUGCUUCUUCCUUGUUGAAUUUGAGCUCUCUUCAAGUCAUUUACCUAGGAAACAAUAAUCUCAACACUUCAAUACCUGAAUGCUUGUUUAAUAUUAGUUGUUAAAGAAAGCAGAAUGAAGGAGAUGGAGGGCAUAGUCUCAGAGACUGCACAAGCUG